UACGUAGGGACCAAGCGUUGUUCGGAUUUACUGGGCGUAAAGGGCGCGUAGGCGGCAAUUCAAGUCAUCUGUGAAAUCUCCGGGCUUAACCUGGGAACGGCAUUUGUGACUGCACGGCUAGAGUGUGUCAGAGGGGGGUAGAAUUCCACGUGUAGCAGUGAAAUGCGUAGAUAUGUGGAGGAAUACCGAUGGCGAAGGCAGCCCCCUGGGAUAACACUGACGCUCAUGCACGAAAGCGUGGGGAGCAAACAGG
rnacentral:rRNA from 1 species